rnacentral:rRNA from 1 species
UACGUAGGGUGCAAGCGUUGUCCGGAAUUAUUGGGCGUAAAGAGCUCGUAGGCGGUCUGUCGCGUCGGCUGUGAAAACUCGGGGCUCAACUCCGAGCCUGCAGUCGAUACGGGCAGACUAGAGUGCUGUAGGGGAGACUGGAAUUCCUGGUGUAGCGGUGAAAUGCGCAGAUAUCAGGAGGAACACCGGUGGCGAAGGCGGGUCUCUGGGCAGUAACUGACGCUGAGGAGCGAAAGCAUGGGGAGCGAACAGG